rnacentral:rRNA from 1 species
CCUAAGUGGGUGGUAAACUCCAUCUAAGGCUAAAUAUGACCACGAGACCGAUAGCGAACAAGUACCGUGAGGGAAAGUUGAAAAGCACUUUGAAGAGAGAGUUCAAGAGUACGUGAAACCGUUUAGGGGUAAACCUGAGAAACCCGAAAGGUCGAAGGGAGAAAUUCAUUCGCGUUUCGCAGUUGGCGUGAAGCGGUCGAGUGACGGGGAACGUUCUUCGCGUUUCCUGCGCCUUCUGUUUUUCGAUCCGAUUGCGAACGCGUGCACUUUUCUCCUGGUAGGACGUCGCGAUCCGUUGAGUGUCGGUUUACGGCYCACGGUGGAGCCCGUACGUACGGUUCAUCCCGUUACGGUACGGACCCGUGGUGUGUCCCGACUGACUCGCUCGACGGUAUACGAAAGGUUUUAGGCCGCUCUUUUUAUCGAGCGUUCGGCUCGUUACAAGCGCGCCAGAUGUGCUGCCGGAAAUCGGACCUAGUGCCGGUCCUGGCCUCUGGUGACUGUUGGUGGCGAAGUUCUCGAACAGACCUUUAACCGAUCUGCGACGCUAUAGCUUUGGGUACUUUCAGGAC